rnacentral:rRNA from 1 species
UACGGAGGGUGCAAGCGUUGCUCGGAAUUAUUGGGCGUAAAGGGUAGGUAGGUGGUCUUGUUUGUCUGGGGUGAAAGCCUUGAGCUUAACUCAAGAAGUGCCCCAGAAACGGCAAGACUAGAGUCCUGGAGAGGGUCGUGGAAUUCCCGGUGUAGCGGUGAAAUGCGUAGAGAUCGGGAGGAACACCAGAGGCGAAAGCGGCGACCUGGACAGGUACUGACACUCAACUACGAAAGCGUGGGGAGCAAACAGG